ACCCCAAGUAUUGAUUAGAUGCUUUGGUU
rnacentral:piRNA from 1 species